rnacentral:sRNA from 1 species
AUGGCUGUCGUCAGCUCGUGUCGUGAGAUGUUGGGUUAAGUCCCGCAACGAGCGCAACCCUUGUCAUUAGUUGCUACAUUAAGUUGGGCACUCUAAUGAGACUGCCGGUGACAAACCGGAGGAAGGUGGGGACGACGUCAAGUCCUCAUGGCCCUUAUGGGUAGGGCUACACACGUCAUACAAUGGCGCAUACAGAGGGCUGCCAACCCGCGAGGGGGAGCAAAUCCCAGAAAGUGCGUCGUAGUCCGGAUUGAAGUCUGCAACUCGACUUCAUGAAGUCGGAAUCGCUAGUAAUCGCGGAUCAGCAUGUCGCGGUGAAUACGUUCCCGGGCCUUGUACACACCGCCCGUCACACCAUGGGAGUGGGUUUCACCAGAAGCAGGUAGCCUAACCGCAAGGAGGGCGCCUACCACGGUGAGAUUCAUGACUGGGGUGAAGUCGUAACAAGGUAGCCGUAUCGGAAGGUGCGGCUGGAUCACCUCCUUUCUAGAGACAAGCUUUACUUCAGCGUCCACAACCUAUCGGUUGUUUUGUGAAUACAGGGGCUUGAGGCUGGGGACUAGGGGCAGGAGCAAGAAAUCCCUGAGGCCUCGGUCGCCAGACCCUGAAAUUCAGGGUCUGUAGCUCAGUUGGUUAGAGCACCGUCUUGAUAAGGCGGGGGUCGAUGGUUCGAAUCCAUCCAGACCCACCAGCUUUCUUAUCGAGGGGGUGUAGCUCAGUUGGGAGAGCGCCUGCUUUGCAAGCAGGAGGUCAUCGGUUCGAUCCCGUUCACCUCCACCAAUUUUGGAAAGGGAGAAGUCGCAGGAUGAAAGCAGGAGUUUCCGCCUGAAGAGUUUUCCAGAGAGAUCACAAGCAAGCCACGAGGCUUGCUUCUGGUCUUUUGACCGGAGAGGCUGUUUGCUCUUUAACAAUUUGGAAGAAGCAAGUGCAUCGAUCUCCCAAGAUCGAUGCAUGGGUUGUGAUUGCAUUCAAAACGGCUUCACCUUAGUCGGGUGGAGCCGGCACAAGCGUGAGAAUUAAUUCCUGUAGCUGCGAGCUUCGUUCUCAAGCGAGGCCUCAAGGUUAUAGGGUCAAGCAAGCAAGUGCAUAUGGUGGAUGCCUUGGCGAUCACAGGCGAUGAAGGACGUAGUAGCUUGCGAAAAGCUGCGGGGAGCCGGCAAACAGGCUUUGAUCCGCAGAUGUCCGAAUGGGGAAACCCGG